rnacentral:rRNA from 1 species
CACGUAGGGUGCGAGCGUUGUCCGGAAUUAUUGGGCGUAAAGAGCUCGUAGGCGGUGUGUCGCGUCGGCCGUGAAAACCUGCAGCUUAACUGUGGGCUUGCGGUCGAUACGGGCAUCACUUGAGUUCGGCAGGGGAGACUGGAAUUCCUGGUGUAGCGGUGAAAUGCGUAGAUAUCAAGAGGAACACCUGAGGUGAAGACGGGUUGCUGGGCUGACACUGACGCU